AACACAAGAAAGAAAGAAAAUCAAGAUUCCGAAAGAGGCUGGUGAAGAGGAAACACCUGUGUUGAGGGCUGGGAAACAGCACCAGGCAGAUCCAGGCUCCACCCUCACGGAGCCCUGUGGUCAAGUGGAGGACGGAGGUCAGUCAUCAGACUGUGGCAAGGAUAAGGACAAAAGCCGGGCCUGGUGGGGUCACCAGAGAAGGCUUCCAGGGGGAAGUGACCUGCAAGCAGGUGGUGGCAUGAUGAGAUGGACAUUUUAGAAAGAGCUUCCUGGCUGCUGUGUGGAGCGUGGCUGGACACAGGUAAGCCUGGAUGGAGUCAGGGUAGGGGGAGACAAAGGAGUUGAGGCAGGAGAGGGAGGUGGCCAGGGUGAGGGAAACAGUGGGGGUGGGGAGAGAGGCCCGACUCCAGAGAUACUGGGAUGCAGAGGGGCCCGGACUUGGAUUGGCCAUGUGUGCUGGGCAGGGGAGGGUAGGCAGGGCAGAGGGAGAGGGAGGCCCCCGGGUCUCUGGGCAGCAUGGUUUAGGGUGGUGAUUUGCACCAAGAUCAAACACAGAGGCAGCUUUAGAAGAAAGGGUCGCGCGCAGUUCAUCAGGGCUACAGGAAAAUUACGUCAGCCACUUGUCCUUACCAUGGAUUACACGACCACACUGAAAACGGCCAGCAACAAACUGCGGAGCACUUUACAAAGCGUUUCCUACCAGGAACUCCUGUGGCCACCUGAUCAUCCACUAAGACUUUACCUGAAAAUGAGCACUUCCUUCAGUCACGAAUGCCAACAACAACCGACAGUGACGUUAGUGGUGCCAAGCAUUCGUCAACAACAAGAUACUGUAGAUGCAUUCAUAACACCACUGUGGCAGCAUCUGGAAACAUCACUUCUGCUCAUCACAAACCCAGAGUUACAGUUACAGCUGUUAGACCAGCCAGUUGGACGCUACUAUCUAAAGUGUUAACAAAGGAGCACAUAUAUUUCAACAUCAUAAAUUUUUAAAGUAUCUCAUAACUGAAUCUGAAAAGAACUGGUUUCCUUUGUAACCCUACAUAUUUUGUUUUAUAUAAGGAAAAGCAUUAUUCUGAGAAGGGGUCCCUAGGCUUCACCCGACGGCCAAAGUGCUCACAAGGAGUUCGAUUUCUACUCCAGGAGGGACAGAGUACUGCUGACGUGCUUUCCACAGGUUUCAUGGGCUGCAGCCUCCAGGCUGCAAAGUCACCCUGGCUGUGGGAGAAGACUGUGCUCGUGCAAGGUGGUGCCAAAGGCAAGUGAGGGCAUGGCCUACUCCGACCUCUGUCCUGGGCAAUGUGGAGGGGGCAGCGCCCCUGGGGCCUCGAGGGCUCUUCCCAAGCCUCUCCCACCCACCCACCACACCACCUCA